AGAUUGAACGCUGGCGGCAGGCCUAACACAUGCAAGUCGAGCGGUAGAGAGGUGCUUGCAUCUCUUGAGAGCGGCGGACGGGUGAGUAAUGCCUAGGAAUCUGCCUAGUGGUGGGGGAUAACGUUCGGAAACGGACGCUAAUACCGCAUACCGUCCUACGGGAGAAAGCGGGGGACCUUCGGGCCUCGCGCCGUUAGAUGAGCCUAGGUCGGAUUAGCUAGUUGGUGAGGUAAUGGCUCACCAAGGCGACGAUCCGUAACUGGUCUGAGAGGAUGAUCAGUC
rnacentral:rRNA from 1 species